AUUGAACGCUGGCGGCAUGCCUUACACAUGCAAGUCGAACGGCAGCAUGAUCUAGCUUGCUAGGUUGAUGGCGAGUGGCGAACGGGUGAGUAAUACAUCGGAACGUGCCCUGUAGUGGGGGAUAACUAGUCGAAAGAUUAGCUAAUACCGCAUACGACCUGAGGGUGAAAGUGGGGGACCGCAAGGCCUCAUGCUAUAGGAGCGGCCGAUGUCUGAUUAGCUAGUUGGUGAGGUAAAGGCUCACCAAGGCGACGAUCAGUAGCUGGUCUGAGAGGACGAUCAGCCACACUGGGACUGAGACACGGCCCAGACUCCUACGGGAGGCAGCAGUGGGGAAUUUUGGACAAUGGGCGAAAGCCUGAUCCAGCAAUGCCGCGUGUGUGAAGAAGGCCUUCGGGUUGUAAAGCACUUUUGUCCGGAAAGAAAUGGCUCUGGUUAAUACCUGGGGUCGAUGACGGUACCGGAAGAAUAAGAACCGGCUAACUACGUG
rnacentral:rRNA from 1 species